CAGCAGCCGCGGGAACACGAAGGGUGCAAGCGUUACUCGGAAUUACUGGGCGUAAAGCGUGCGUAGGUGGUGGUUUAAGUCCGUUGUGAAAGCCCUGGGCUCAACCUGGGAAUUGCAGUGGAUACUGGGUCACUAGAGUGUGGUAGAGGAUAGUGGAAUUUCCGGUGUAGCAGUGAAAUGCGUAGAGAUCGGAAGGAACAGCUGUGGCGAAGGCGACUAUCUGGGCCAACACUGACACUGAGGCACGAAAGCGUGGGGAGCAAACAGGAUUAGAUACCCCCGUAGUCCCUGUCUCUUAUAC
rnacentral:rRNA from 1 species